CCGGCACGGGUGAGUAACACGUAUCCAACCUGCCGUCUACUCUUGGACAGCCUUCUGAAAGGAAGAUUAAUACAAGAUGGCAUCAUGAGUCCGCAUGUUCACAUGAUUAAAGGUAUUCCGGUAGACGAUGGGGAUGCGUUCCAUUAGAUAGUAGGCGGGGUAACGGCCCACCUAGUCUUCGAUGGAUGGGGUUCUGAGAGGAAGGUCCCCCACAUUGGAACUGAGACACGGUCCAA
rnacentral:rRNA from 1 species